GCCCGUCUAGCUCUGUUGGUAGAGCGCAAGGCUCUUAAACUUGUGGUCGUGGGUUCAAAAAUCCCACGGUGGGCG